rnacentral:rRNA from 1 species
GAUUCCCCUAGUAACUGCGAGUGAAGCGGGAAAAGCUCAAAUUUAAAAUCUGGUAGUCUUUGGCUGCCCGAAUUGUAGUCUAGAGAAGCGUCUUCCGCGCUGGACCGUGUACAAGUCUCUUGGAACAGAGCGUCGUAGAGGGUGAGAAUCCCGUCUUUGACACGGACUACCAGUGCUUUGUGAUGCGCUCUCAAAGAGUCGAGUUGUUUGGGAAUGCAGCUCAAAAUGGGUGGUAAAUUCCAUCUAAAGCUAAAUAUUGGCGAGAGACCGAUAGCGAACAAGUACCGUGAGGGAAAGAUGAAAAGCACUUUGGAAAGAGAGUUAAACAGUACGUGAAAUUGCUGAAAGGGAAACGCUUGAAGUCAGUCGCGUCGUCCAGAACUCAACCUGGCUUUUGCUUGGUGCACUUUCUGAACGACGGGCCAACAUCAGUUUUGACUGUCGGAAAAAGUCCUUAGGAAUGUGGCACCUCCGGGUGUGUUAUAGCCUUUGGUCGUAUACGAUGGUUGGGACUGAGGACCGCAGCACGCCUUAUGGCCGGGGUUCGCCCACGUACGUGCUUAGGAUGU